rnacentral:rRNA from 2 species
ACUUAAAUUGAAGAGUUUGAUCAUGGCUCAGAUUGAACGCUGGCGGCAGGCCUAACACAUGCAAGUCGAGCGGUAGCACAGAGAGCUUGCUCUCGGGUGACGAGCGGCGGACGGGUGAGUAAUGUCUGGGAAACUGCCUGAUGGAGGGGGAUAACUACUGGAAACGGUAGCUAAUACCGCAUAACGUCGCAAGACCAAAGUGGGGGACCUUCGGGCCUCAUGCCAUCAGAUGUGCCCAGAUGGGAUUAGCUAGUAGGUGAGGUAACGGCUCACCUAGGCGACGAUCCCUAGCUGGUCUGAGAGGAUGACCAGCCACACUGGAACUGAGACACGGUCCAGACUCCUACGGGAGGCAGCAGUGGGGAAUAUUGCACAAUGGGCGCAAGCCUGAUGCAGCCAUGCCGCGUGUGUGAAGAAGGCCUUCGGGUUGUAAAGCACUUUCAGCGGGGAGGAAGGCGUUAAGGUUAAUAACCUUGGCGAUUGACGUUACCCGCAGAAGAAGCACCGGCUAACUCCGUGCCAGCAGCCGCGGUAAUACGGAGGGUGCAAGCGUUAAUCGGAAUUACUGGGCGUAAAGCGCACGCAGGCGGUCUGUCAAGUCGGAUGUGAAAUCCCCGGGCUUAACCUGGGAACUGCAUUCGAAACUGGCAGGCUAGAGUCUUGUAGAGGGGGGUAGAAUUCCAGGUGUAGCGGUGAAAUGCGUAGAGAUCUGGAGGAAUACCGGUGGCGAAGGCGGCCCCCUGGACAAAGACUGACGCUCAGGUGCGAAAGCGUGGGGAGCAAACAGGAUUAGAUACCCUGGUAGUCCACGCCGUAAACGAUGUCGAUUUGGAGGUUGUGCCCUUGAGGCGUGGCUUCCGGAGCUAACGCGUUAAAUCGACCGCCUGGGGAGUACGGCCGCAAGGUUAAAACUCAAAUGAAUUGACGGGGGCCCGCACAAGCGGUGGAGCAUGUGGUUUAAUUCGAUGCAACGCGAAGAACCUUACCUGGUCUUGACAUCCACAGAACUUAGCAGAGAUGCUUUGGUGCCUUCGGGAACUGUGAGACAGGUGCUGCAUGGCUGUCGUCAGCUCGUGUUGUGAAAUGUUGGGUUAAGUCCCGCAACGAGCGCAACCCUUAUCCUUUGUUGCCAGCGGUCCGGCCGGGAACUCAAAGGAGACUGCCAGUGAUAAACUGGAGGAAGGUGGGGAUGACGUCAAGUCAUCAUGGCCCUUACGACCAGGGCUACACACGUGCUACAAUGGCAUAUACAAAGAGAAGCGACCUCGCGAGAGCAAGCGGACCUCAUAAAGUAUGUCGUAGUCCGGAUUGGAGUCUGCAACUCGACUCCAUGAAGUCGGAAUCGCUAGUAAUCGUAGAUCAGAAUGCUACGGUGAAUACGUUCCCGGGCCUUGUACACACCGCCCGUCACACCAUGGGAGUGGGUUGCAAAAGAAGUAGGUAGCUUAACCUUCGGGAGGGCGCUUACCACUUUGUGAUUCAUGACUGGGGUGAAGUCGUAACAAGGUAACCGUAGGGGAACCUGCGGUUGGAUCACCUCCUUACCUUAAAGAA